rnacentral:rRNA from 1 species
GACGAACGCUGGCGGCGUGCCUAAUACAUGCAAGUAGAACGCUGAAGGAGGAGCUUGCUCUUCUGGAUGAGUUGCGAACGGGUGAGUAACGCGUAGGUAACCUGCCUGGUAGCGGGGGAUAACUAUUGGAAACGAUAGCUAAUACCGCAUAACAGUAGAUGUUGCAUGACAUUUACUUAAAAGGUGCAAUUGCAUCACUACCAGAUGGAUCUGCGUUGUAUUAGCUAGUUGGUGGGGUAACGGCUCACCAAGGCGACGAUACAUAGCCGACCUGAGAGGGUGAUCGGCCACACUGAGACUGAGACACGGCCCAGACUCCUACGGGAGGCAGCAGUAGGGAAUCUUCGGCAAUGGACGGAAGUCUGACCGAGCAACGCCGCGUGAGUGAAGAAGGUUUUCGGAUCGUAAAGCUCUGUUGUAAGAGAAGAACGAGUGUGAGAGUGGAAAGUUCACACUGUGACGGUAUCUUACCAGAAAGGGACGGCUAACUACGUG